AGAGUUUGAUCAUGGCUCAGAGCGAACGCUGGCGGCGUGCUUAACACAUGCAAGUCGAGUGCGCGCCUGUAGCAAUACAGGUGGCGCACGGCGCACGGGUGCGUAACACGUGGGCAAUCUGCCCUCUGAUGGGGAAUAACCCCGCGAAAGCGGGGCUAAUACCGCAUAACAUUCCUUGGACUACGGUUCGAGGACUCAAAGGCGUAAGUCGUCGGAGGAGGAGCCCGCGCACGAUUAGCUAGUUGGUAGGGUAACGGCCUACCAAGGCUUUGAUCGUUAGCUGGUCUGAGAGGAUGGCCAGCCACACUGGAACUGAGACACGGUCCAGACUCCUACGGGAGGCAGCAGUGGGGAAUCUUGCACAAUGGGCGAAAGCCUGAUGCAGCGACGCCGCGUGGGGGAUGAAGCUUCUCGGAGUGUAAACCCCUUUCGACCCGGACGAAUACCUCGCAAGAGGGGUGACGGUACGGGUAUAAGAAGCCCCGGCUAACUACGUGCCAGCAGCCGCGGUAAGACGUAGGGGGCCAGCGUUGCUCGGAAUUACUGGGUGUAAAGGGUUCGUAGGCGGUGUGGCAAGUCGGGAGUGAAAUCUCUGGGGCUUACUCAGAGACUGCUUCCGAAACUGCUGUGCUUGAGU
rnacentral:rRNA from 1 species